rnacentral:tRNA from 1 species
UGUCCGAUGGUGUAAUGGUAGCACAGAGCCCUUUGGAGGCUUUAGUCAUGGUUCGAAUCCAUGUCGGACAACCA